AUGUCAUGGUGUGGACACAUACGAACGAGAUCCCUAUAUCUCUCCCAAGCCUCAUAGAACUGUUCAUUCUCAGCUUGUUGGAAAGUGGUAAUCUCUUGCCGAAGUCU